rnacentral:rRNA from 1 species
CCUACGGGUGGCAGCAGUGAGGAAUAUUGGUCAAUGGACGAGAGUCUGAACCAGCCAAGUAGCGUGAAGGAUGACUGCCCUAUGGGUUGUAAACUUCUUUUAUAUGGGAAUAAAAUGUUCCACGUGUGGGAUUUUGUAUGUACCAUAUGAAUAAGGAUCGGCUAACUCCGUGCCAGCAGCCGCGGUAAUACGGAGGAUCCGAGCGUUAUCCGGAUUUAUUGGGUUUAAAGGGAGCGUAGGUGGAUUGUUAAGUCAGUUGUGAAAGUUUGCGGCUCAACCGUAAAAUUGCAGUUGAAACUGGCAGUCUUGAGUACAGUAGAGGUGGGCGGAAUUCGUGGUGUAGCGGUGAAAUGCUUAGAUAUCACGAAGAACUACGAUUGCGAAGGCAGUUCACUGGACUGCAACUGACACUGAGGCUCGAAAGUGUGGGUAUCAAACAGGAUUAGAUACCCUAGUAGUC